UGGCUCAGAGGUGAAAGCGUCUGCCUGGAAUGCAGGAGACCUGGGUUUGAUCCCUG
rnacentral:tRNA from 1 species